CGACUAUUUGAGGGAGUGAAGGCUUUACCAGAGUGGUUGGGUCGAAGCCAUGCGACACCUCGCCAAUUUACUUCGCACUGAACUAAGCAACGACGCUCUUACUCGAAUGUGCAGUAGGUGCAAGCAGAGUCUAGCAAGCUCAUUGAACUUUGAUAUGACUCAUGCCAGUCUUCAAGGGCUUUUUUCGUUCAUGGAACUCACUAUGCCUCAAUGGUGGCAGGGUAUGCUGUUGAGGAUGUAAAUUUCUAC